UGCUGUAAUAAUUUCUGAUCCUUGGUAAUCACUCUCUCCUCAUCCCACUGAUUCUUUGUCCUCUGAUGGUUUUCUUUCUCUCUUGCAAGUGCUCCCUCAAUUUCUUUCCUACAUCUCAACUCCCUAGCAUACAAGAUUUCUAAAUCUUUAGCCCUGCGAACAGCGUUAACAGCAGUCUUUUCAGCUACUCCACACCUUAGCGACUCUUCAAGUGCUUGUUUUUUAAACUUUUCAGCCUCUGACAUGGCACGUUCCAGUUGAUUGUAAAGUUGAUCAAUACUACUUUCUUCCAGUGAAUCACGAUUGUGACUAUUUUCCUCAGAUAGAGACACUUCAUGUAACUCCAACUCAAGUCCACUCCCGUCAGUUCUCUGCUGCAAAAAAGAAGCGGAGUUUCCAAACCCAUUGGUUGUGGAGCAUGUAGAAUCCCUUUUGCAUAUGAAGUAUCCAUUGCAGAUAUACCAAAUUUGACAGGAAGAAGGCACAUGUAGUUGGAUAUAUUUAGCCUUCUUGGACUUAAGAUCCAUCAUUUCCUCUGAAUAGUGUUUGUUUGCCGCUGCUCCCAUAACAAGCUUCUUAAUAUCAUAAUGGUAUGCGAGUUCUAUAAUCCCCUUCCCAACAUCAUCCAUCUCCACACAUAACUUGUCUGCAUGGACAUCUAAUUGACCGCAGAAGAGGACGUAAUCAUCCAGGAUCUUGAGCAUAAUGUUCCUUUCAAGUUUUUGGAACUCCUUCAGCUCAUGUUGCCCAAGCCUGCUAGCCGGAAAUUUUCCGCCGACGAAGGGGAUCAUUUUAGCAGGCUGAUGAACAUGAAUAAUACACAAUCUCUUCCCGGGAAAAUUCUCUAUUGCCCAUACCAAAUUCAACUUGUUUUCUUCAAAAUCCUUACCCACUGCAACAUAUACAGUGUCAUCAUCAUCUUCAUCUGCCACUUGCGACGUUGAUCCCCUCCUUGAGGAGCUCUCAGCUUCCCAUUCUGCCAUCGACAAGUCUUGCUCACCUAAGCAGACCCAGGCAGUGAAAUCGCUAAAGCAUGCCCCAGCUAGCACCAGU
rnacentral:misc_RNA from 1 species